CCCCUGUGACAUACCUUAAUGUUGCCUCGGCGGAUCAGCCCGCGCCCCGUAAAACGGGACGGCCCGCCAGAGGACCCAAACUCUAAUGUUUCUUAUUGUAACUUCUGAGUAAAACAAACAAAUAAAUCAAAACUUUCAACAACGGAUCUCUUGGUUCUGGCAUCGAUGAAGAACGCAGCAAAAUGCGAUAAGUAAUGUGAAUUGCAGAAUUCAGUGAAUCAUCGAAUCUUUGAACGCACAUUGCGCCCGCUGGUAUUCCGGCGGGCAUGCCUGUUCGAGCGUCAUUUCAACCCUCAAGCCCCCGGGUUUGGUGUUGGGGAUCGGCUCUGCCUCACGGCGGUGCCGCCCCCGAAAUACAUUGGCGGUCUCGCUGCAGCCUCCAUUGCGUAGUAGCUAACACCUCGCAACUGGAACGCGGCGCGGCCAUGCCGUAAAACCCCAACUUCUGAAUGUUGACCUCGGAUCAGGUAGGAAUACCCGCUGAACUUAAGCAUAUCAAUA
rnacentral:rRNA from 1 species